rnacentral:rRNA from 1 species
CGGGAUGAAGGUUGCUACCGACUCAGCGGCGGACGGGUGAGUAAUGCUUAGGAAUCUGCCUAUUAGUGGGGGACAACGUUCCGAAAGGAUCGCUAAUACCGCAUACGUCCUACGGGAGAAAGCAGGGGACCUUCGGGCCUUGCGCUAAUAGAUGAGCCUAAGUCGGAUUAGCUAGUUGGUAGGGUAAAGGCCUACCAAGGCGACGAUCUGUAGCGGGUCUGAGAGGAUGAUCCGCCACACUGGGACUGAGACACGGCCCAGACUCCUACGGGAGGCAGCAGUGGGGAAUAUUGGACAAUGGGGGGAACCCUGAUCCAGCCAUGCCGCGUGUGUGAAGAAGGCCUUUUGGUUGUAAACUUUAAGCGAGGAAGGCUAUAGAUUAAUACUUUAGGAUAGUGGACGUUACUCGCAGAAUAAGCACCGGCUAACUCUGUGCCAGCAGCCGCGGUACAGAGGGUGCGAGCGUUAAUCGGAUUUACUGGGCGUAAAGCGUGCGUAGGCGGCUUAUUAAGUCAAAUGUGAAAUCCCCGAGCUUAACUUGGGAAUUGCAUUCGAUACUGGUUGGCUAGAGUAUGGGAGAGGAUGGUAGAAUUCCAGGUGUAGCGGUGAAAUGCGUAGAGAUCUGGAGGAAUACCGAUGGCGAAGGCAGCCAUCUGGCCUAAUACUGACGCUGAGGUACGAAAGCAUGGGGAGCAAACAGGAUUAGAUACCCUGGUAGUCCAUGCCGUAAACGAUGUCUACUAGCCGUUGGGGCCCUUGAGGCUUUAGUGGCGCAGCUAACGCGAUAAGUAGACCGCCUGGGGAGUACGGUCGCAAGACUAAAACUCAAAUGAAUUGACGGGGGCCCGCACAAGCGGUGGAGCAUGUGGUUUAAUUCGAUGCAACGCGAAGAACCUUACCUGGCCUUGACAUACAGAGAACUUCCAGAGAUGG